rnacentral:misc_RNA from 1 species
UCCGAGUUGACCCCGGCAGUCUCCCAUGAGUCCCCGGCAUAACCCGCUGGCAACAUGGAACGAGGGUUGCGCUCGUUGCGGGACUUAACCCAACAUCUCACGACACGAGCUGACGACAGCCAUGCAGCACCUGUACACCAACCACAAGGGAACGCCUAUCUCUAGACGCGUCUGGCGCAUGUCAAACCCAGGUAAGGUUCUUCGCGUUGCAUCGAAUUAAGCCAUAUGCUCCACCGCUUGUGCGGGCCCCCGCCAAUUCCUUUGAGUUUCAACCUUGCGGCCGUAGUCCCCAGGCGGUUCACUUAAUGCGUUAGCUGCGCCACCAAAACCCUAAGGGCCCUGACAGCUAGUUAUCAUCGUUUACGGCGUGGACUAC